GACGAACGCUGGCGGCGUGCUUAACACAUGCAAGUCGAACGGAAAGGCCCUGCUUUUGUGGGGUGCUCGAGUGGCGAACGGGUGAGUAACACGUGAGUAACCUGCCCUUGACUUUGGGAUAACUUCAGGAAACUGGGGCUAAUACCGGAUAGGAGCUCCUGCUGCAUGGUGGGGGUUGGAAAGUUUCGGCGGUUGGGGAUGGACUCGCGGCUUAUCAGCUUGUUGGUGGGGUAGUGGCUUACCAAGGCUUUGACGGGUAGCCGGCCUGAGAGGGUGACCGGCCACAUUGGUACUGGGAUACGGCCCGGACUCCUACGGGAUGCAGCAGUGGGGAAUAUUGCACAAUGGGCGGAAGCCUGAUGCAGCAACGCCGCGUGCUGGAUGACGGCCUUCGGGUUGUAAACCGCUUUCGCCUGUGACGAAGCGUGAGUGACGGUAAUGGGUAAAGAAGCACCGGCUAACUACGUG
rnacentral:rRNA from 1 species